CUUGCUAAGCUGCUUAGGGCCUUGCUAAGUUGCCAAGGCUGGCCUGGAACUUGAGAUCCUCCUGCCUCAGCCUCCCCAGCCACUGGGGUUACAGGCGUGCCCCACAUCACCCAGUUGGAUAUGGUUUUAUGGCCCAGAUGAAAAUCCUUCAUCAUGAACAAUGACAGAUGCCAUGAAAGGAUGACAACCAGAACCAAACUGAAGAAUGUUUGUGACUCCAAGACUGGGUUCAAAACAGAACAGAACAAAGAAACGAUCUGAUUUGGGCCUCAGGAAUGGUUUACCAGGGAAGGAAACGGAAGCUCGACAGGCUAAGGUGACAGCUCCAUCCACAAGAAGCAGAGCCGUGAUUCAAACUCACGUCCACCUAACUCCCAUGUCCUUUACAAAACAAGCAAAACCCAAACAAACCCAAAGGAAAUCAAAGCAUCCACUGAGGCCCCACCAAAAAAAAGCAUCACUGAAAUCUCAAAACAAAGAGGGCUUCAGAGUUAGAUCAAGCCCAGCCCAAGGAGGGCUCGAGAUUCUGAAGGAGCCUUCCUUGAGUCUGUCCAGAGUCCAAAACUGUCCUGCAACUUCAAGGGAGCCUUUGUCCCCCACAGGCCAGUGGCCGGUGGCAGUAUAAUAUGACGGGAUUACUUUGACUGUGGCCAUGUGGUGGCGAGGAAGCCCCCGGCCCCUUUCCGGCCCCUUUGUCCUGUUUAAUGCUGCAUCUGUGAGGCCCCUCUCACACAGCCCUGCUGGUCUUGACUCUGAGGUGAAGGAGUAAACAUCUUGGAGCUCUUUAUUAGUUUAUUUCAGAAGAUGGAGCCUGUUUGUCCCUGGGGCCCGUCCCUCUUUUAUGGCCUCGAGCCUUUCUUGACAAAUUCUAGUGACUGGAGAGAAAACCGCUUUCUACAGCAGAUCAUUAAAACACCACCAUAAA